CCCUUAGAUGUUCUGGGCCGCACGCGCGCUACACUGAUGCAUUCAACGAGCCUAUCCUUGACCGACAGGUCCGGGUAAUCUUUAAAUCUGCAUCGUGACGGGGAUAGAUUAUUGCAAUUAUUAAUCUUCAACGAGGAAUGCCUAGUAGGCGCAAGUCAUCAGCUUGCGUCGAUUACGUCCCUGCCCUUUGUACACACCGCCCGUCGCUCCUACCGAUUGGGUGUGCUGGUGAAAUGUUCGGAUCGGCCGUUUGUCGCGGUUUCCGCGUCAUGUGGCUGAGAAGUUCAUUAAACCCUCCCACCUAGAGGAAGGAGAAGUCGUAACA
rnacentral:rRNA from 1 species